GUCGCCUCUAAAAAGCCCAGAGGUCGCAGGUUGUUUUUGACCCUGCGAGAGCCUCAGCAAUUGUCUCAGAUUUCAUGAGUUCUCAAUUUUCUAAGCACAAGUAAUUUGUUGUUUUGUUGUUUUGUUGUGUUUGUUUAUGUAUUUGUAUUGUAAUGUUAUGAUUAUAAAAUGUCCCGUGUAUUAUAUGUACCAAAUAAUUUUAAUAUUCAAAAGAAUUUUAUUUUCUGUGAAAAUUCAAUUUGUUUUAUAUAUGAAUAUUCCCAUUAUGAAUUUAAAAUUGUUUUACAAAAAAUGUAUUUGUAUAAUCUUGAUUAAACAGAAUAACUUCAACUACAAACUGUUUUCAUUUUGAUUAAAAGUUAGGUCUUUCUCGUUUGUAUUGUAACUAGUAACAGUUUACCUUUCUGAAGGAUGAGAAAUCAGUUUACCUUUCUGAAGGAUGAGAAAUCAUCCCCCCUUUUUGUGGGAGUUAAUGUUGUUCUGAUUUUAUUAUGUUAUAUUUUGUAUACAGUUGUUUGUCUUUUGGACAUUUCUGUUUUACUAUGUUUUUUGGUAUGUGCAGCGUCAUUUUGUCUGUCUGUCUGUACAGCUUCAGGUUAAAGUUUUUGGUCGAGGUAGUUUUUAAUGAAGUGCAAUCAACUUGAAACUUAGUACACAUGUUCCCUAUGAUAUGAUCUUUCCAAUUUUAAUGCCAAAUCAGAGUAUUUACAGACACAUUCUUGUUGUUCUCUCUUUAUACCCCCUUUCAAAAAAAAGGGGGUAUACUGUUUUACCUCUGUCUGUCCCUCUAUCCAUCAGUCCGUCACGACAGUCAGUCCUGAUAUACUGUGUGAUGCGUUUUCAGAUUCAUCACUUGACAACUUCCUGUUUACCAAAC
rnacentral:lncRNA from 1 species